CAGUAGCCGCGGUAACACGGAGGGAGCUAGUGUUAUUCGGAAUUACUGGGCGUAAAGCGCACGUAGGCGGCUUUGUAAGUAAGAGGUGAAAGCCCGGAGCUCAACUCCGGAACUGCCUUUUAGACUGCAUCGCUUGAAUCCAGGAGAGGUGAGUGGAAUUCCGAGUGUAGAGGUGAAAUUCGUAGAUAUUCGGAAGAACACCAGUGGCGAAGGCGGCUCACUGGACUGGUAUUGACGCUGAGGUGCGAAAGCGUGGGGAGCAAACAGGAUUAGAGACCCCAGUAGUCCCUGUCUCUUAUAC
rnacentral:rRNA from 1 species